rnacentral:tRNA from 1 species
GCGCCCGCCCCCCCGGCGCCUGAGUAAAGCCCCCAGCCGCAGCGCCAGCCGCCGGCCCAUUAUUG